rnacentral:lncRNA from 1 species
AGGAAAUUAGGCCCAUUACUCUAAAAAAAUAACAAAUUAGAUUUAUACCUUAAUAAAAUUAAAACAUUCUCACACCGUAUUUAAUACUUUCAUCUCCUUCUUCCAUAUCACCACAUCCACAAAUACCACCCCAAUCACACCAGAAACUCAACCACACUGCACCCUCAUCUCCAUUUUUCAUAAUAUCACCUUCAAAUUUUCUAUCUUCAACCUAAAUUUCAUAAAUUCCCCUUCUUUCCAAUUCCUCGUAUGCUUCACCAACCAAAGUAAUCGUUCUCUAAAAUGGCUCCAUCUUCACCCACAAAUUCUAAUGGGUAAACUCAACAAUUCCGUUAUUUCGUCAAUCAUAUACCGUAGUUUGGAUUUUUCCAUUUCUAUUAUUUGUUGCUCUUGUCUCAAUUAAAGGAUCAAGAUAUCACUGAGAUGAUUGCAACUGGAUGAGAGAAUUUGGCUUCAGUUCCCGCCGACGUGGUGCAGUUGCUGUACCUGCACUUGCUGCAGCAGGAGGUGCUGCUGACCCAACCACUACUUAAACAAAGAACUGAAGAAGAAAGAGAAAGUUGAAGAGAAAGAAGAGUCGGAUGAUGUAAAAUACCGCACUUCAUUCUUUUUCGUGAUGUCCUUUUCAUUUUCUUGGAUCAAUUUAUGUGCUAAAGAGAAAUUUAAUAUUGUGACUUUUGAUUCUAUGGUUGCAGGAUAUGGGCUUUAGUCACCUCGACUAAAAACUGCAAAAUUGGACGAAGAAGUUACUGUCAAGUAAUUUUAGAAAAUUUUCACAUUGUUCUUGGUUUGGGUACUAGACUUGCUUAGGUAACGAGAAUUUUGUUUUCAAGUGAACAAGUUGCAGAUAUUAGAAAAUGAGAAUUUUGUUUUUUUGCUUGAGUUUGUUUAUUUCGAUUUGAUGAUUUUGUGUAUCGUAUGUUCAAAAGUGUAUACCCGUUGUUAUUCUCCAAGAAAAAUGGAUUGUUU